rnacentral:ncRNA from 1 species
CCAGGUGUCCAACCACCUGUAGCCUAGGAGCAGUGCGGGGCUGGUAACGGCCCGGUGCGAAGCGCUCUGACAAUGUAAUCACCCUCUCGGGGUCCAGCUGACCCCGCGAGGGGACAGCUGGGAUCUUGCUUCCGCAAGCAAGUGAGAUG